rnacentral:rRNA from 1 species
GACGUAGGGGGCCAGCGUUGUUCGGAAUUACUGGGUGUAAAGGGCUCGUAGGCGGUGCGGCAAGUCGGGUGUGAAAUUUCUGGGCUCAACUCAGAGACUGCUUCCGAAACUGCUGUGCUUGAGUGUGGGAGAGGUGCGUGGAAUUUCAGGUGUAGCGGUGAAAUGCGUAGAUAUCUGCAGGAACACCCGUGGCGAAAGCGGCACGCUGGACCACUACUGACGCUGAGGAACGAAAGCUAGGGGAGCAAACAGG